GGCCCUGUAGUUCAACGGAUAGAAUGGAGGUUUCCUAAACCUUAGAUGGCGGUUCGAUUCCGCCCGGGGCUA
rnacentral:tRNA from 1 species